AUGGCUUCUUCUUCUUCUCCGAGGACGAUGAGAGCCGUGCAGUACGACAGGUACGGCGGAGGAGCCGAAGGCCUCAAGGUACGUACGCCGGUACACGGCACGAAUCGACUUGAUGUACAAACACGUACUCACUUGACUGAUUCACCGGUGCACUUUCAGCAUGUGGAGGUGCCGAUCCCGUCGCCCAAGAAGGGCGAGCUGCUGCUCAGGAUGGAGGCGGCCAGCAUCAACCGGGUGGACUGGAAGUUCCAGAACGGCAAGGCGCGGCCCUUCCUGCCCAGCAAGUUCCCCUUCACCCCCGUCUGCGAGCUCGCCGGCGAAGUCGUGGAGCUGGGCGCCGGAGUCAGCGGCUUCAGCCAGGGCGACAAGGUCAUCGCCGUCAACUUCCCGGGUGGCGGCGGGCUGGCCGAGUACGCGGUGGUGCCGGCGUCGCAAGCAGCGCUGAGGCCUCCAGAGGUGUCCGCGGUGGAGGGCGCCUGCCUGCCGAUCGCCGCGUUCACGGCGCUCGCCGCGCUCAGGGCGGCCGGGGUCGGCCUCGACGCCGGCGACGGCCGUCCCAAGAACGUGCUGGUGACCGCGGCCUCGGGCGGCGUCGGCACCUUCGCCGUGCAGCUGGCGAGCCUCGCGGGGCACCACCACGUCACGGCCACCUGCGGCGCGCGCAACCUGGACCUCAUCCGGAGCCUGGGGGCCGACGAGGCGCUGGACUAUGACACCCCGGAGGGCGCCGCGCUGCGCGGGCCGUCCGGCCCGAAGCACGACGCGGUGGUGCACUGCGGGGAGGGGUUCCCGUGGUCGGCCUUCAAGCCGGCGCUGGCCGACGCCGGCGGCGUGGUGGUGGACCUCACCCCGCGCCUCGCGUCCGUCGCCGUCGCGGUGCUCCAUUGGGUGCUCUUCUCCAGGAAGAAGCUGGUGCCGCUGAUCGCGUCUGCCAAGGAGGAGGACAUGGAGGCGCUGCUGGGCAUGGUGAGUCAGGGGAAGCUCCGGGUGGUGAUCGACUCGCGGUACCCGCUGAGCAGGGCGCACGAGGGCUGGGCUAAGAGCAUGAGCGGCCACGCCACCGGCAAGGUCGUCGUCGACAUGGGCGUCGCCGAUGACACAGAGUGA
rnacentral:rRNA from 1 species